UAAACAAUCAUUUGAAAAACAGUAAAUAAAAUGGAUACCGAGCGUGAUGAUAUAUCCUUACACCACUGUGCUAACUAGCCACUUGUGCGUAAUUUUAAAACCAGGGUGGGGGAAAAAAUGUUGGUAAAGAUGACGACAAAAAUCUGUCAAUACAAAAUAUUCUGCCUCAAAACUGUAAUUUGAACAGUAAUUUUGAAACCAAUGUUCCACAAUCCGGAACCAAUGUGUGGCCAAUUCUAAGUGACCACACGGACAUUUGUUGCUGGCAGAAUCUACGUCUUCCUUACUUCUUUCCAAGCCAGACUCAAAAAUUUUAAAAGUGGCCCAAGAUUUGGGAACGCUUUAAAGUAACCUAACUUACCUGAGUGAUCGAUGGAAUAAUCAAUAGGAUCAAAAGUUUGUUACUGAUAGCCCAACUUCAAACCUCAUAUGCCCGUAAAGUCAAAAACCGAGGAUGCUGUAUCUGUGUUCGAACAACUCACAGCUUAGCUAUUACUUAGAAUCCACGGCAUGACAUCAAUCCUCUUAAGUUGCUUAACUCACACGCUCUACUGUGGCCUGCAUUCGCAGUUUUGAAGAGGGCGAAAAACGCAUCUGGAAUUAAACGCUUCAAAUUAUUUCGCUCCCUCUCUCGCUGUCUAGAGAGAGGCGCUCUACUAAAAUAAAUGAGUCAGCCCCUUGGAAAGAUGGAUUUGAUAACUCAGCAGAAGUGUGGGGGGGGGCGAUCGAAAGUGACACAGAAUGAGAGAGAGAUGAUAUCGGAAUGAGAUUUGCUCAAAUGAAGAGGAUAUUAGGGCAGCUGUGAAGGAUAUGAAGCUGCCUGAAGCGCUUGUAAAAAUGAGUGAUCUCCUCAAGCCGCUUCUGCUCCUCACGCAGCCCAAUAAACCAGACCUGACAUAGCUCAUAAAGUCGCAGAAUUAGUCGGGCAACUUUUCGAAACCGUAGCCUUAGAUAGCUACGCAGCAAUAUAAUUGUCACGUUUUCGCGCCGCAUGUGUAAUGGAGUGUGUCCGUUUCUGUGUGUUGCAUUUGGUUAAUGAGUUUGACAGCGAGAAUGCUGCCUCGUGCUCGUCUCGGUUGAUCAAAGGUUGCGCUUGACGCGAGGAUGAAGAGUGUGAGGGAAUAACCGAUUCUGAUCCGGCAGGAAGCCGACUGCGAUUGGUCGGGCUUGCGAGCAUCCGUCACUCUUUUGAUGGUCGAUUGGGUCUUGAUGGAGGUUGAGUUAAGUUUACUCUGCUCUGGCUUUGCUUGAGUUCAAGAUCGGUCAAAAUCAACAUCAUCCGUGAUGAGGUUUAGAGGAAAAGCUCUGCACUGGCGAAUGGAAUAUUAUCGAGGAGUGUUAGGGCCAAACUGAAGGAGGAAAAAGUUGGUCAGAUUGUGAGAAAAAGGCUUUUAUUACGAAUAUUACAAGACGUUUGAGAAUUGUUUUCACAAACGCAGAAGGAAUAGUCUGCUCCAAAAAGAUGAUGUGAUGAAAAUCAAAUCAAAUGACAGAAGAGGAGGCAGCGUGAUACCAUAGAAGUCCGACCUGCAUUCUUCUUGACAGAAAGAAAGCAACAGCAAAGUCACACUUCGUUCCGACGGCGAUGAAGAUCAUCAAUUAUCGCAAUCACAAGGGCACCCAAAGGACGGUGAAAUGUUUGUGUUGGUGUUGCCUUGACAGGUGUAAAGAGCUCACACUGUAAUUUGUCACUUUUAUUUAUUUCACCAAGAUUGAUGACUUCAACGGCAGAAUGUGAAAAUCAGCUGUAAACAAAUAAAGGAGCAGAGUUACUGGACCCGCAAGUCAUCAAUCACUCAUCCACACACA